UACGAAGGGGGCUAGCGUUGCUCGGAAUCACUGGGCGUAAAGCGCACGUAGGCGGAUUCCUAAGUCGGGGGUGAAAUCCUGGAGCUCAACUCCAGAACUGCCUUUGAUACUGAAGAUCUUGAGUUCGGGAGAGGUGAGUGGAACUGCGAGUGUAGAGGUGAAAUUCGUAGAUAUUGGGAAGCACACCGGUGGCGAAGGCGGCUCUCUGGACCGAUACUGACGCUGAGGCGCGAAAGCGUGGGGAGCAAACAGG
rnacentral:rRNA from 1 species